AUUUCAGUUUUGACUAAACGCUCUGGUAUUACAAGUGAGAUAAUACUAAGUUUUUGGUUAAGUACACAGAAGCUUCUUAGUGUUAUACCUUUACUGCCACUGGGAUACAAAAGGAGCACCUUUGCAGUCAACAAAUGGACAUUUUGAGCAUCUACUGAGUGCUUUUUUGAAUGGGUAGAGGCAGCUUCCCAUUUUACGUUAGUCUGAAGAUGCCCCUGAUUAGUAGUUUCCAUUUAGUUCCCACUUUCUGCCCAGCAGAUCGGCACACACCUCACCACCACCACCCCUGUCCUCAGUAACAGUCCUCUCAUUUCAGUUUCUUAUCCACUUCAGAGCCCUCAUUUUGGAGCCCUUGCUCCAAGAAGUAAGUGGCCUUCAUGCUUCAGCUACCCAAGGUCCCCUUGCCCUGUUUAUCCUUUUCCUUUCUGGCUCCUGCAGACCCUGGGGCAGGGUGACCUUAUUAAAGACUCUGUGAAACAAAGUUGUCUGUCUUCUCUUCAGAGACACCUCUCCCCUCCUCUACUGGUAAUUCAAAAAGGAACUUUCUCCUUAUCCACUCCUUCCAUCUCCCUGAAGAAAGGACGGGUUGGGGCAGUAAUACGUGGUCAUUGCUCGAGGUGAGCAGCCAGUUACCAUACAGUGAUUGGAUAGUGCCAAAUCUCAUCCCACCUCCCCACCUUGAACCAGCUGAUCUGGUUUCAGUGUUCUAUGCCUGGCUUCUCAGAUAGAGGAAGGUGGGCACUUAAAAAGUGCUCGUGACCCUCCCCUCUGUCUCUUUGCAACUUUGGCUUUGUUAUCGUCCUUCUUAUCAUUUUUCACUCCCAGCUCUGCUGUUUCCUUUCCUUCUAUUCUCUGGAAUCUUCCAAGCAAGCAGCUGUAACUUUGUAUGUCCUCUCCACCCAGCCCCCUCCCCCGCCCCCGUGGAAGAGGAGGAGAGAGCACCCUCUCCCUGUGGGGUUAGGCCUCGGUAGCUGUUGUAACCUGAGAAAAGAAGGAAAAAGGCCAGGCCUUUUGAGCCAGCAGUGAGCUCCUUGUGGCCUGCCAGAGGAUAAGAGCCUUGCUCACUCAGCGCCCUCCCUCUCUUCUUUCCCCUCCCCUGCUGCAGCAGGGCCCUCCCCCAUCCGCACACACGGGCUGCUGGGUAAGUGGCAAGAUGGCUCCCCUGCAUGUCUCCGGCUGAUCGCCGCCGCUCCGCCAAUACAAUAGAGCCAGCCACUACCAGCAGCCUGGCCCUCUUCCUCCUCCUUCUCCAGAGAGACCAAUCCAGCUGAAUUCGGGGUUUGCCAAAGGGAUAAACAGCACUUCCAGGGGGAGAAAAAAAAUCAUGUUAUCAGAAAGCAAAGAAGGUUGGAAUAAGGGAGUGGGAGAAACUGGGCGAAGGCUGAAUGUAAGAACAAUUCCUACACCUCUGAGCAGGUAAAAGUGGCCUGGUGCUUCUCUGAGCUUUCAUACUCUGUCUGGCAGUUCUUGUUUUUCCUUUUGGAUUAGAGGGGGUCCCUGUUGAAGCUUGAACCCUCACCAGCCUUCCUCUCCCUGCAGCCCUCACCCCCACCAUUUCUCCAUUCCUGGUGUCUGCAGACCCUGAGGGUCAGUAGGCUUUUACUUACUAAGCAGUUGAUUAAACCCAGGGUUGGGCUCAUCUGCCACAGCCCUGGCUGUUCUUUCUCCUCUUUUUAAGGAAUCAGGCUUCCCUUAGUUUCUCACGCAGUUUGGUUAAAUAAAGGUGUCUGGGCCCAGGUCUAGGGAGGCCAUGGGGUUGUGGGCAAAUCACAGUUACUUUUGAGGGACUUUGCAGAGAGGGAUGUUUCUCCUCUUCAUAUAGGGGUACUCUGGUGAAUUACCUAAGAACAUUGGAGCCCUGACCCCACACAUCACAGCUUUAUCCCAUCUGGGCAGUGAGUGAAUGUGGUUGCUGUGAUCUGUGCUCUUUCCCCUAGGAAAACCGUUUCCUGGUUUUCCUGGGGGGACAAGGUCUCUAGUCUGAUCUAAAAAAGCAGCCCUCCGAAAUCCCACCCAAGUGAUGAGGCAUGGGGGUUUCCUUGACCCAAAAUCUAACGUCUUGCUCUCUCUUCCCCUUGGUUCUUUCCUGCCCUUCCCUCCCAACCUCUCCCCAUAC